rnacentral:rRNA from 2 species
GGGGAAUAUUGGACAAUGGGCGAAAGCCUGAUCCAGCCAUGCCGCGUGUGUGAAGAAGGUCUUCGGAUUGUAAAGCACUUUAAGUUGGGAGGAAGGGCUGCAAGUUAAUACCUUGUAGUUUUGACGUUACCAACAGAAUAAGCACCGGCUAACUUCGUGCCAGCAGCCGCGGUAAUACGAAGGGUGCAAGCGUUAAUCGGAAUUACUGGGCGUAAAGCGCGCGUAGGUGGUUUGGUAAGAUGGAUGUGAAAUCCCCGGGCUCAACCUGGGAACUGCAUCCAUAACUGCCUGACUAGAGUACGGUAGAGGGUGGUGGAAUUUCCUGUGUAGCGGUGAAAUGCGUAGAUAUAGGAAGGAACACCAGUGGCGAAGGCGACCACCUGGACUGAUACUGACACUGAGGUGCGAAAGCGUGGGGAGCAAACA